UACGUAGGGAGCAAGCGUUGUCCGGAAUCAUUGGGCGUAAAGCGCGCGUAGGUGGCCUCAUAAGUCCGCUGUGAAAGUCAAAGGCUCAACCUUUGAAAGCCGGUGGAUACUGUGAGGCUAGAGUACGGAAGAGGCGAGUGGAAUUCCUGGUGUAGCGGUGGAAUGCGCAGAUAUCAGGAGGAACACCUAUUGCGAAGGCAGCUCGCUGGGACGUUACUGACGCUGAGACGCGAAAGCGUGGGGAGCAAACAGG
rnacentral:rRNA from 1 species